rnacentral:rRNA from 1 species
UACGGGGGGAGCAAGCGUUGUUCGGAUUUACUGGGCGUAAAGGGCGCGUAGGCGGCCGGCACAAGUCAGUUGUGAAAUCUCCGAGCUUAACUCGGAAAGGUCAACUGAUACUGUGCGGCUAGAGUGCGGAAGGGGCAACUGGAAUUCUCGGUGUAGCGGUGAAAUGCGUAGAUAUCGAGAGGAACACCUGCGGCGAAGGCGGGUUGCUGGGCUGACACUGACGCUGAGGCGCGAAAGCUAGGGGAGCGAACGGG